CCUUUGACGUUAGCGGCGGACGGGUGAGUAACACGUGGGUAACCUACCUAUAAGACUGGGAUAACUUCGGGAAACCGGAGCUAAUACCGGAUAAUAUUUCGAACCGCAUGGUUCGAUAGUGAAAGGUGGUUUUGCUAUCACUUAUAGAUGGACCCGCGCCGUAUUAGCUAGUUGUAAGGUAACGGCUUACCAAGGCGACGAUACGUAGCCGACCUGAGAGGGUGAUCGGCCACACUGGAACUGAGACACGGUCCAGACUCCUACGGGAGGCAGCAGUC
rnacentral:rRNA from 1 species